GUACGCAACAAGAAACAUUUUUUCAUCAUACUUAAAAAAACAUGGAUGACCAAGAUUGCAUUUUUCUUAAGUUUACACUAGAGCUUCUUUUCCAAUCACAGUUCCUACUUGACUAGACACACAAUCUUCUUUGUGAGUUAACUGUUGUUAUCCCAUAACUAUAAUAACACAGAUACUGGUGUUAAACUUGGGCAAAGAAGAAGACAUACAUCUCUGAGUCAAGUGACUCUUAAUCAAGCCAAAACCCCUCUCUUCAGAAAAAUGGGUCUUUUUCAACUUUUCCCAAUGGCUACAAUCCUUGUAUCACUUCAUUUCCUGAUAAUUUUCUAUGUUUCCAAUAUUCCCCUGGCCUUUGCUCAAAAUGAAAACCAAUUCAUCUACAAUGGAUUCCAUCCAGCAAAGCUGCAUCUUGAUGGCUCUGCUCAACUUCUUAGCAAUGGUCUGCUGCAGCUAACGAAUAUCAAGAACAUUUCAUCCCCCCAAGUUGGUCAUGUUUUCUACCAAUUUCCUUCAAAAUUCAACACAACUUCCUCAUGUUCAACUCUAUCUAUUUCAUUUUCUACAAACUUUGUAUUUGCCAUUGUUCCACAAGUGCCAAGUAGUGGUGGUGGUCAUGGCAUGACGUUCACCAUCAGUCCAUCGUGGAACUUUAUCCAAGCUGGAGGAAAUCAGUAUCUAGGACUCUUCAAUUCUUCAAAUGAUGGCCUUCUUGUGAACCACAUUUUGGCCAUUGAGCUUGAUACUAUUCUGAACCCAGAAUUUGGAGAUAUUGACAGCAACCAUGUGGGAAUAGAUGUGAAUAGUCUGAACUCAACUGAAUUAGCUCCUGCAAUGUAUUUUUCCAACAAAGAAGGGAAGAAUAAAAGCUUGGAGCUCACAAGUGGAAAUCCAAUGCAUCUUUGGAUAGACUACGAUGAAGCAGAAAAGUUACUAAAUGUAACACAAGCCCCAACCAGAAUCCCAAAACCAAACUGGCCUCUCAUGUCAAAACCUAUUGAUCUGUCUCAAUAUCUCUUGGAAUCUAUGUAUGUUGGUUUCUCUGCAACUACUGGUACCCGUGCUCCAAGUGACCACUAUAUUCUUGGAUGGAGCUUUAAUAGAAGUGUACAAGCACAAAGCCUUGAUGUUUCGAAGCUUCCUUCACUUCCUCGACAAAGGAAAACAAAAGAGAUACCCAGACUAAUGAUCAUGGUUUUUCUCAUAGCAGUGACGCUUGUGCUGAUAACAAUCACUAGAGUUGCUUACAUUAUAAGAAGGAAGAAAUAUGAAGAAAUACGUGAAGAUUGGGAAAGGGAGUAUGGUCCUCACCGGUUCAUCUAUAAGAAUCUCUACAAAGCAACCAAGGGUUUCUCAGACAAAGAGCUUCUUGGAGAAGGAGGUUUUGGAAAGGUUUAUAGAGGAAUACUUCCUUCUUCCAAUGUACAAAUUGCAGUCAAGAGAGUCUCCCAUAAUUCCAAACAAGGGAUGAAGGAAUUUGUAGCUGAGAUUAUUAGCAUGGGAAGACUGAGGCACAGGAACUUGGUCCAGCUCCUGGGAUAUUGCUGGCGAAGAGGAGAGCUCCUCUUGGUCUAUGAUUAUAUGUGCCAAUGGAAGCCUUGACAAGUUCUUAUAUAGCAAUGAAAAACCAAACCUUAGCUAGUUUCAACGAUUUCGAAUCAUCAAAGGUGUAGCAUCUGGCCUUCUUUACCUCCAUGAAGAAUGGGAACAGGUUGUUCUACACAGAGAUGUAAAAGCAAGCAAUGUUCUAUUAGAUGCUGAAUUGAAUGGAAGGCUAGGUGAUUUUGGCCUUGCCAAAUUAUAUGACCACAGUACGAAUCCCCAAACCACCCAUGUGGUUGGAACUGUAGGUUAUUUGGCUCCAGAGAUUAUUAGAACAAGAAGGGCAACCACUUGCACUGAUGUGUUUUCUUUUGGGGCUUUCAUGCUUGAGGUGGCAUGUGGAAAGUGGCCUGUAGGACUACAAGGACUGACUGAAGACAUAAUUUUGGAUGACUGGGUGUUUGAGUGUUGGAGAAGAGGAGCUAUCCUUGAUGCUAGUGAUCCUAGAUUGGAGGGUAAUUAUGUGGUGGAGGAAAUGGAAUUGGUUUUGAAAUUAGGCCUGCUUUGCUCACACACAGUGCCAACACAAGGCCUAGCAUAAGGCAAGUGAUGCAGUUUUUGGAUGGCAAUGCCAAUCUACCAGAAUUACCAGAUGGAAGUACUUUUUUGGGUACAUUUAAAGGUAAUGAAGAGCAUGAUUUCUUAUUGUCGCUUCCUUCAUCAUUUGGCAAGGGUUCUGCUGCGUCCUUGUCUAGCACUAAUUCAAUCCUCAUAAAUGUUCACUGAAUAAGUUUGUUUCAUGCUAUGGGUCAUAUAGACCAUGGAUUAAUGGUUGGGACCAAAUCAACUGGUGGCAAAUAGAAAGCCUACUGAUUGCUUGGGGGUGGAGAGGAGAAAAGAGUAAAUUUUAGUUAGUAGUCUACUUAUCCUCUAACCAGUACAAAAAUAAGAUUGAUUCUGAUGUAACAAGUUCUAUAGAUCAAUAUUUAAGUAGGGAAUUGGAGAAACUAGAUUAGGUUUCUCAUUAAAUUUCAGCUUACUAAAAGCCCAUAGCCAGCGAUUGCUAUCCUUUAAGAAGGCAUCAUCCAUGAAUAUAAAAAUCAUCUAUUUUUAAAUUAACUAGUCACUAACCUACACAAAUGUGCGGAAAAGUUUUGCAUGAAUGUAUGAUAUAUAUACACUUGAUGAAACAAUUUCACAAUUAUCGAAGUCAAAAUAAUCACUCUCUCAGGGAAUCAAAAGGUAAGAAAGGGAAAUUUAUUAUUCCUAAAUAACAUUUAUUUAUAAAAUGUAUUGCAUCAUCACAAAUAAAUUAUUCUUCAAUCCAUAUAUGAGCAUACAUUUGAUAGGAAGUAGGGAAAUGAGGGGAAAAAUGGCUAUUUAGCCUUAAUUUUGGAAUGUAGCCAAACAGUACCCUUUGAAACUUUGUAGCAAAAUACCCUUAUUUUAGAACUCAAUAUUGUUGAUGUUGAGUUUUGCCUGGACAUUAGCAAUGUCAAGUUAUAUGCAUAUUUUGUUACUUAGAUUUUUUUGGAAAUUUUGUGUAGAGUUCCACUUAAAAUAUGCAUAGAACUCGACAUUAGUAGGCAGAACUCGACAUUAGUAGGCAGAACUCGACAUUAGCAAUAUCGAGUUCUAAAACAUUGGUAAUUUGCUACAUAGUUUGAAAAAGAGGCUAUUUGGCUACAUAGUUCAAACAAUAAGGCUAAAUAGCCAUUUUCCCUUGAAUGAGGGAUGAUACUCCACUCCUUGUAAUUUGGGCAAUACUCGACUCUUUAAUAUGUCCUGUCACAUGUAAUGGUUAGCCACACACACAAGAAUUUUAUUUUUUGAUCUUUUUCCAAGCAACCAAACAACAAUGUUCAAAUAAAAGAAGCAUGAGAGAAACCAAAAAAACAAAAGUAGAAUUAAACACCAACAUAAGCAAAAGAAUAAAUAACCAAAAUAUAGUCAUGGAGAACAUGUCAUUGAUAUAUCAUAUAUAUCUUGUCUCAUACACCAAAAACAUUAGAUCAUUGCAUAGUUGAUUAUAGUUAUAGCAAUAAAGCAUGAUUACAUACAUUUACAAACAGUUUACUAAAUAGGAAUUGUUAAGCCAUGCCAUCUAGGUAACACUUCCAUUUAAGUUCUCAUCUCCAACCACCUUUAAAAUUCAGUGGUUACCUUUGCUUCUUACCUUUUUUUAUUCACUUACCAGCACCGCCAUGGACUGUCUAUAAAACUACUUUGUAGCAGAGCUUCUCUAGUUCUCCAAAACCUUUUACAUAUUGCUUACCGUCUCCAAACUUCUGGAUAUGUUUCUAAUUGGCUUUUUUAUUUUGCCAAGUUUUUGUUGAAGAC